rnacentral:lncRNA from 1 species
GGUUACAUGCAAGACACAAGUUGUCUAGAUAACAGUGCAUAGAAGGUUUCAUCCCCAUGAAACUCAUUUCAUCUCUCUCUUCAUUAGUACUUUGCCAUAUCAUCAAAAAUACCUACAUGGCAUCCUAUUUAUUGUCCAUAAAACUUCCAUUAAGAUUGGCCUAAGAAUCAGAUGCUAUGUAGAGUGCAUCUGCAUGUCCUUCAUGCCUCUUCUCUUCAGUAGUGAUGGUGAAUGUCACAGAGCUGGACAAAGGUGAAGCAUUCAGAACAUCCAAAUAAUGUUGAAUCGAGAGUAGAUCACCGUUUGAACGGUUCUACUGUUUUAUCCUG